UAUAUACUCCCUCCGUCUGGAAAUACUUGUCAUAAAAAUGGAUAAAAGGGAUGUAUCUAGAUGUAUUUUAGUUUUAGAUACAUCCCUUUUUGUCCAUUUUGAUGACAAGUAUUUUCGGACGGAGGGAGUAUAAU
rnacentral:pre_miRNA from 1 species